GACAGAGGUGCCGAGCGUUAGGCGGAAUCACUGGGCUUAAAGCGUGUGUAGGCGGGCGGGCAAGUACCUUGUGAAAUCCCACGGCUCAACCGUGGAACGGCUGGGUAUACUGCCUGUCUUGAGCCAACUAGGGGCGAGCGGACCAGACGGUGGAGCGGUGAAAUGCGUAGAUAUCGUCUGGAACGCCAAAGGUGAAAACAGCUCGCUGGGGUUGUGCUGACGCUGAGACACGAAAGCCAGGGGAGCGAACGGG
rnacentral:rRNA from 1 species